GUAGGUGGCAAGCGUUGUCCGGAAUUAUUGGGCGUAAAGCGCGCGCAGGCGGUUCGUUUAAGUCUGAUGUGAAAGCCACGGGCUCAACCGUGGAGGGUCAUUGGAAACUGGAGAACUUGAGUACAGAAGAGGAAAGCGGAAUUCCACGUGUAGCGGUGAAGUGCGUAGAGAUGUGGAGGAACACCAGUGGCGAAGGCGGCUUUCUGGUCUGUAACUGACGCUGAGGCGCGAAAGCGUGGGGAGCAAACAGGAUUAGAUACCCUGGUAGUCCACGCCGUAAACGAUGAGUGCUAAUGUUAGGGGGUUUCCGCCCCUUAGUGCUGCAGCUAACGCAUUAAGCACUCCGCCUGGGGAGUACGGCCGCAAAGGCUG
rnacentral:rRNA from 1 species